UGCCGAAAGCUUUCUUCUCACUGCGGCUGGAGACCGCGGCACACGUCGAGGCUCUCUACUUGGAGACGAAGUUUACUGGAGCCGCCGUGAACAGGAAGCUCAAGCCCGAGGACAUCAAGCAUCGACCGCGUGCGUGCUCAGAAAUUCAGUGCGUGGAGCUGCAGGACAGCGAGGUGUCGUGGCUGGUCGCAGUGGCGGAGAAGCUGCUAGUUCCAGAUCAUAAUGGGACGAAGUACGAGAGGCUGCAUUCGUGUCGCCUCACACGGGCUGGCGUGGAG